GGGGGCGUGGCAGAGUGGUCGUAAUGCGUUCGUCUUGAAAACGAAAGGCCCUUAACCGGGCCCGUGGGUUCGAAUCCCACCGCCCCCUCCA
rnacentral:tRNA from 1 species